CUUUUUGAGUUCAUGAGAAAAGAAAUUGAGAUAUAUAGAAUUGAUCCAGCCAUUUGGAGCUAGUGUUUGAAACAGUCUUCUGACUUGCAAGCCCAUAUUCUUCCGUACUUUGAUGUACUGCUUCUAUCGAAGGAAAUUGAGAUUGUCAUUCAGAUAUGGAAUUAACAUUGAUGAUGUUCCAGAAUGAUUCAGGAGCUGGCUACAAGAUUAUUCCCUUAAAUCAUUCUUGUUCAAGGGUUACUAGGAAGAGAAGGUAAAACCUGAGGUAGGUCCAUCUUGUGACUGAUCCAGAGUUCCAGUAGUUUCUUUGGGAAUUCAAUAGAAACUUUCAGCCCUUUCUUGUACUUGACCGAACUCCUGCAAAAAGACUAGUUCUUUAUUACACCUAAACUAUCCUUCAAAGUGACUAAGUCAGACCUUUAUAAUUACC
rnacentral:lncRNA from 1 species